rnacentral:lncRNA from 1 species
AUGAGUCAGGCGAAGACUGAUGCCUUGUUUCUUGUUAAACACUGUUCUCCCUCCAGUAUUCCUGAAACUUCACUUUUAGAAUCAGAUUCUUCUGAAAGACUUGAUUCAGAGGCAUCGACGUCAUGCUUUUCCACACAAUAUGGGCAAGAGCACUGCAGAGGCAGCAUUUCUUAACAGAAUUUAUGGAAGAUCUGAAAACCAUCAGGACUUGGCUUUUAAGCUGGGUUUGUGAGUAUGUGGCAUGAACCUACUUUUGAUUCCCACUUGUGUAGUGUUGCUAAACACCUCUGCUUCGCUGCCCACCACCAACUCCCCAUUUGGUUCCUAGGGAUUAAAAGGAUUGUCCAGUGUUGUUUCUGAGAUUUUCUUCCAAGCAAACAUUCAUUCUGACAGUUUUGAAGCUGGUACUUUUUAUGUUUGUGCAUGCAAAGCCACAACAAUUAGUUAAAUCUCUUUUGUUUGUUCUACAGUGAUUUCCAGGUAAUCUCAAUCUCAGCAGUAUUAGGAUGUGUCAACAUUGUGCAUCUUCAAGGAUAAUGGAAUGUGGCUGAAGCAGAGAGGGUGUGUGUGUGUGUACACACUCAUGUGUGUGUGUUGUUGCAGUGGGCAGGGUGAAGUGAGUAAUCUGUAGCUUAUCAUCAGCUCAAACAUCUUAAGGCAUUUUGACUUAUCCACAAAGUAUUUGUUAAGCUAACAUGGAUAGUAACCAGAGGAAUGAUAACCCUUGCUGCUGAGUGUAGAAUAGGUAGAAUAGAAGCAAAAUAAAAUUUAGAGGAUUCAGAGAAGAGGCAGGUUUUAGAGGAUUCCUGCUUUGUGGGUUAUUAUUAUAAAAAGGAGACAGAAUGUUAAUCAUUUUAGGAGCUCUUAGUGGGGCCUUCAGCCAUAAAGAUUACUUCUCUAGGGUAGCCAGCUCCCGACCCGAUUCCCAGAACAUGUGGUGUCUCAGGCAGAAGAUUAAACACAGAAAAACUGCUAGCUUUUCACCUUGAAUGAAUAUCCCAGAUAACAGAAACUUAUCUCUUUAAAAACUAAAUUCUCUUGCUAAUGAAAAUCUCUUUCAAUUCAAAUUUACAUGCCUUCUUACAUUGGGGGCUAUUAAAUAUAUCUAUUUUUAAACUGAGGACUAUAUUUAAGAAUAUUAGCAUUAACUAAAGUACUUGGUGGCAGUGCAGUGCAUUUCUGAAGGCUGUUAUUGGGCUGUCAAAACAAUUUGCCCCUGUAUUUUAAAAAUAAUUAAUACCUAAUGCUUGUUUCUCAUUCUAUGGUUUUCAAAGAAUGUUUGUAUUCGUGAUUUCAUUUGAUUCUCACAGCAUCUUCCUGUGUCAUCUCAGGUCCUCCUUGAAGCAGAUGCUAAAAUAAAAUGAAAAGUGCAAGAGAGUUAUUGUGGGAAAUGACAGUGAAAGAUAAAGGAGAAGAUAUAUAAAUAAACAUUAUUAUAUACAAAUAUAUAUAAAAUGCUCAA